GUGGCGAACGGGUGAGUAACACGUGGGUAACCUACCUCUUAGCAGGGGAUAACAUUUGGAAACAAGUGCUAAUACCGUAUAAUACCAACAACCGCAUGGUUGUUGGUUGAAAGAUGGUUCUGCUAUCACUAAGAGAUGGACCCGCGGUGCAUUAGCUAGUUGGUAAGGUAACGGCUUACCAAGGCAAUGAUGCAUAGCCGAGUUGAGAGACUGAUCGGCCACAAUGGGACUGAGACACGGCCCAUACUCCUACGGGAGGCAGCAGUAGGGAAUCUUCCACAAUGGGCGCAAGCCUGAUGGAGCAACGCCGCGUGUGUGAUGAAGGGUUUCGGCUCGUAAAACACUGUUAUAAGAGAAGAACGGCACUGAGAGUAACUGUUCAGUGUGUGACGGUAUCUUACCAGAAAGGAACGGCUAAAUACGUGCCAGCAGCCGCGGUAAUACGUAUGUUCCAAGCGUUAUCCGGAUUUAUUGGGCGUAAAGCGAGCGCAGACGGUUAUUUAAGUCUGAAGUGAAAGCCCUCAGCUCAACUGAGGAAUGGCUUUGGAAACUGGAUGACUUGAGUGCAGUAGAGGAAAGUGGAACUCCAUGUGUAGCGGUGAAAUGCGUAGAUAUAUGGAAGAACACCAGUGGCGAAGGCGGCUUUCUGGACUGUAACUGACGUUGAGGCUCGAAAGUGUGGGUAGCAAACAGGAUUAGAU
rnacentral:rRNA from 1 species